AACGCAUGGUCAAGCUGCCAGUGUAGCUGCAGUCUUUUUAGCUGUGAAUUACGAGUAUUUCCUCUUGUGUUAAUAAUUCGCCAUGUCAAAACAAGCGAAACUUUCUUCCUGCUUUCGACGUGAAGAGAGACUCGUGUCCUCCUGACGAGAUGGAUAAAGAGACACUCGAGGCUUCCGCUAGAUGACCGAAGUCUCUUCAAGAGACGAGAAGUAACACCUUCGUCAUAUCCAUCUCUAUGCACGUACCUUGAGCUCGUCGAAGCGCAGAGUGAAGUGGAGGAUCUCGGCGAACUGGCGCGCCAGAGCCUGCUCCUGCUCCAAGUGCUGCGUGGGGCUGCAGCGCGCACUCGUUAGGAAUCCCAGCAGGCCGUGCAGGGCACCUUCUGCACAACCGAGACCACAAACCUACUGCUUUUCGUGCUGGAACUGAGCCAGUCGUGCCAGCUGUGGAGAAGCUAUGGAACCAGCGUGACGUUGGAAAAGCGCUUUUGUGUAUACAUACACACACACUAUAUAUAUAUCAUAAUCUCUCAAAACCCACCUGUCUAAUGGCUUCUCCAGCUCCACUGUAGGACUGCAGAUCCUGCAGAACGCUCAUGGCCUCCAUCAGAACCUUGUUCACCUGUUCCCAUAACUCUUUCUCUGCCUCAGUCGGCUGAGCGUCUGUGAAAACACAGACGCUGAAUGUAGUCGUGUUCAAAAGUCUGAGAUUUUUUCCAUUUCAUCAUGUAUACAGAAGACUUAUAGCUGUUCGAGAUCGCCUGAUCCGGAACAAACGUCGAGCUGAAUGCUCCGUUAACACACUGAUUCAUUAGGUUUAAAAACUGUUGUGAUUUUCUUUCUAACACACACACACACUUGCUUUCAUGUUUUAAAGGGGAACUGAAGUCAUUUUUAAACUUGCUUUAUUUCUUAAUGAACGUGUUAUUCAAUUACGUUUUCGGUUUCAGUAACCUUAUAUCGUGACAGGGGGCGUCGUGGCUCAGGUGGAUAAGGCGCCAUACCAUAAAUCCGGGCGACCCGGGUUCGAUUCCAGCCCGAGGUCAUUUCCCGAUCCCUCCCCGUCUCUCUCUCUCCCGCUCAUUUCCUGUCUCUACACUGUCCUAUCCAAUAAAGGUGCAAAAAGCCCAAAAAAUAUCUUUAAAAAAAAAAAACCUUAUAUCGUGACUCGUAUUGGCAACUAAUCGCAAUUAAAUAUUAUCCUUAUCGGCCUGUUCGGUUUUUAGCCGUGUUGAAUUUAGUUCGUUUGGUCCACGGCAGGCGUCGUUCAUCGGCGCGAUCUUUACGAGACUUGCGCGAGACUUCGAAGCGUAACGUGUCAGCGCCGCCAUUUUGAAAACUUUUCCAAACGAAAUAUUGCACAAGUUUAAAUGACGAUUGCUAUCAAAACAAACAAAACUUCCGGCGCGCGCGUCUUUUGACAACCCCGUGUCCGAAAUCGCUCCCUACUCGGUAUAUAGUGGAGACGCCAUUUUGUAGUGCUGUCUGAAACCUUAGUAAGGAUUAUUUACACCCUGUAUAGUGCGCUCAAAGUAUCCCACAAUGCAUCGCGAAAAGUAGCGUACAUCGAUGGUCACAAACCAAAAUGAUAUAUCCCAUCAUGCAGUGCGGUCGCGCUGAAAGAAAGGCAGCGGCAAAGAAGAAAGUCCGACUGAUCUGGCACGUUUUAACUGUGCGACGGACUCGUGUCCGAAAGUGUUUUUUCAUUUUACCAAUGAGCUCACUAUACAGUCCUCUAUAUAGUAAUUCCCUAUAUAAGGAGUAGUGAACGAGUGAGCAAUUUCGGACACAGGGAUUGAUUUGCGCUGUACGUUUUACUUCCGUCUUACGAAGUCUCGCACAGGUCUCAGCGAAUCUCGUUUACGGCCAUCGCUUUGACAUAUGGACUGAUGUAUUACAGAGCGUAAUUCAAACACUCAGAACUCGCUAUAGCAGCGAUAUUUAAUAAAAUGAGAGAAUUUUGAUGAUAAAAAAAUUUGCCUUCAGUUCCCCUUUAAGUGUUGAGAUGAGUGUCUCAGUCCUGCAUUGUUGGAGAAAUGUGUGUUGUUAUGAAAUAACACACACUAUAUAAACUUACUCUCAAAGUCCAGGAAAAAGUUCCCCGCGUUGUUGUCGAUGUCCCUCGUCAGAACCUUGAUCAGAUUCCCCAUGCCGUCCAAUCAGAAACCUGACAAGGAGAGGAGUGGAUUAGUGACAUCCUGCUGAGGAUAUAAAGAUCGUAUUAAAGCGUCGUGCUGUGCAACUGCGUGCGUCCAAUAAAUCAGCAAUGUCAAGCACUUGUCUAAGCUCUCCUCAGCCUAGCAUCACUCAUAUCCCUGUUUGUCCCAGCAUCUGGAAACACACACAAGUGUGAACAGCUGUUCAAAGCAGUGCAGACAGAAGAAGACCAAAACACCACACACACACUGCCACACCAGGAUAUAAACAAGUAAAGGUUUAUAUGACAGUCUUAAACAUCACAACAUGGGUGCAGCAAUACACAAAAUUCACAGUACAAG